rnacentral:pre_miRNA from 1 species
UUGAAUAACUCAUCAAGAUCUAUAACUUUUAUUUUGGUCAUUUAUUCAUCUGAUAAAGUGAUAGUAACAUUGUUCACAAAAUUGACAUAUCUCUUAUCUGGUUUUAUAAACUAUACACAUAUAUGUAAAAUUUACGAACAAUUUUACUAACAUUUUAUCAGAUGAAGAAAUGAACAAAAUAAAAGUUUUAGAUCUUGAUGAGUUAUUCAA